GACAAACGCUGGCGGCGUGCUUAACACAUGCAAGUCGAACGGAAAGGCCUUUUCGGAGGUACUCGAGUGGCGAACGGGUGAGUAACACGUGGGUGAUCUGCCCUGCACUCUGGGAUAAGCCUGGGAAACUGGGUCUAAUACCGGAUAGGACCGCACUUUAGUGUGUGUGGUGGAAAGUUUUUUCGGUGUAGGAUGAGCCCGCGGCCUAUCAGCUUGUUGGUGGGGUAAUGGCCUACCAAGGCGGCGACGGGUAGCCGGGCUGAGAGGUUGGUCGGCCACAUUGGGACUGAGAUACGGCCCAGACUCCUACGGGGGGCAGCAGUGGGGAAUAUUGCACAAUGGGCGCAAGCCUGAUGCAGCGACGCCGCGUGGGGGAUGACGGCCUUCGGGUUGUAAACUCCUUUCGCCAGGGACGAAGCGUUUUGUGACGGUACCUGGAGAAGAAGCACCGGCUAACUACGUG
rnacentral:rRNA from 1 species